rnacentral:rRNA from 1 species
UAAACCUGUGGAAGGAUCAUUG